AUUGAACGCUGGCGGCAUGCUUUACACAUGCAAGUCGAACGGCAGCGCGGGCUUCGGCCUGGCGGCGAGUGGCGAACGGGUGGGUAAUACAUCGGAACGUGCCCAGUAGUGGGGGAUAGCUCGGCGAAAGCCGGAUUAAUACCGCAUACGACCUGAGGGUGAAAGCGGGGGAUCUUCGGACCUCGCGCUAUUGGAGCGGCCGAUGGCAGAUUAGCUAGUUGGUGGGGUAAAGGCCUACCAAGGCGACGAUCUGUAGCUGGUCUGAGAGGACGACCAGCCACCCUGGGACUGAGACACGGCCCAGACUCCUACGGGAGGCAGCAGUGGGGAAUUUUGGACAAUGGGCGAAAGCCUGAUCCAGCAAUGCCGCGUGUGUGAUGAAGGCCUUCGGGUUGUAAAGCACUUUUGGCGGGAACGAAAAGGACUGUGCCAAUACCACGGUUCGAUGACGGUACCCGCAGAAUAAGCACCGGCUAACUACGU
rnacentral:rRNA from 1 species